CAGGACUGCAAGCCAUAGGGCCGGGCGCUCUCUGGGGUGCCUGCACUAUCUCCCACUUCCCUCCGCAUAAUUCCUGAUAGAGAAAAAGCAGUCUGGCCUGACAGGGCCAUGCCAGACCUGCACUGGACACCCAAGAGACCCAGCAGAUAUCUCGCAGCUGGAUGUCACAGCAACCCACUCUGCCCAUGGGAGAGAAGAGGAACUUGGCUCCGAGAGGCACAGUGACAAUGUGGUACAGCCCAUCGUCAUUUGGAGUAGCCUGUAUUUCCUCGGAGUAGACUGUGUUUCCUUGGUCCUAGCCCGCUCUGUGUCUGCCAACCUUGCUGUCCACUGCAGACCUGUACCCCUGUCAUCUUUGCCAGCCAUGGGAGCCCACCCAUCACCCGAGCCCAGCACACUGGAAUUCCAGAAAUGGAUGCUGCUUCCUGCCCCUGCCUUCUGGGGACUCAGUGACCAGUGAGCCUGGCACCUUUGCUCCCACAUAUGCUCCACCUGUCUCCUCAGUGCCCCAGUGGGACAAUGCUCCAUCUGCCCAGGGUGACAACUCAGCAUCCACCAGCUUCCUUCCUUGUCUGGUACUGGUUUCACAGCCCUACUCAUCACCUGCUUCUGGACAACCCAAACAAAGACGCCCCAUUGGGUCAGUGAUCCAUGUACCCUGGCCAGGCCACCGCAUCCCAGUGGGCUUCUCUGAACCACCUGGCAUCCUUCUCCAGCCCGCCAUCCAUGCCACAGCAAGGGUGAUCAUCACAACAGAUGAUUGAUCUCACCGCCAGCCUCGAAGACUCUCCAAGGCUUUCCUCACUCAAGGAUCAGGACGAAAAUCUUCCACGUGGACGGUGAGCUCCUAUGUGCUGCAGCCCUGCUGCUCCCUUGCCUCCGUGCCAGGUCAUAAUCAGGCGUAUGUAGGGCGAGCACAAACAUCACUACCUCAGCAAAGCCCUUGCGGAGGUCUGGAUCAAUCAAGAGCCCCAGUUCUAUGUGCAGGCAGAGCAGCAAGCUGUCCUUAUGUCAUUGUUAUUUUUACAUGGAUUUGUGAUUCAUGGAGUCAGCUCCCUGCACAGAGCUGAGGGACCUGUGGCACGGACUGCCUGCUGGCCCUCCGUCUCUUCCUUCUCACUAGCACAGGCGGGGUUGUUUAAGGCAGCCGCAUGCACAGCUAAGGCUCAACUGUCAGCUUCUCUGGCAGCCAAGGCUAGCUGCGCAGUCCACCGCUGGCCAGGAAGUGGAGGGCAAGCAGAAGCUACCAGCGAGCUUCAGGGAAGCUUGACCCAGAAAUGCAGAGGAUCCCUUCUCUUUCCUCCCUGAGGAGCUGCUGCCAUUGCACCCCCACGAGGGCAGAAGCCACACAUGAAGUCACAAGACAGAGGAAUGCAGGCUGUCACACCAGCUCUAGCCUUUUACUGAUGGUAACAAAGAAACACCUAUUUAGUGAGGCCAACUCAUUGAACUUGGGCCACAUGGGGCAAAAACACACUCCUCAGUGCUGAGAGAGGGGUCUGCAUGCU